GCGCCUGCCAGGCCGGGGCCGGCGGCGGAACAGCUUGGGACCCGAAACGCCUCGGCUUUUCUGCGGACCCGCGCCCGGCCGCUGCCGCCGGACGCUUGAAAAGAGGCAGAGUCUUGCUUUGUUGUCCAGGCUGGUCUUGAACUUCUGAGCUCAAGUGAUCCUCCCGCCUUGGCCUCCCAAAGUGCUGAGACUACAGAGAGAGAAUGCUAACGAGCUGUGAAAUGACCAAAGAUCUGGCAGCAGAAGGGAAAAGAAAAAAUAAUGGGAAGAAGAGGAUUUAUCUGACUCAACUGGAGAUGGCUCCCUUCCCUUAUUUAUUGUUGCAUCCUGAAGCUUCCCCCAUGCUGGGCUCAGUGUGAACAAACAGCGCGGGAGAAUGCAACCACUGCAGAGGCAUAUGUUUGAGAUACCUGGCCACUGGAGGUCAUCUCGUCUACUAUAUUCACCGCAGAUAAAGAAUGAAAAGAGAAUACACAACCUUGUGAUUGCUAGCAGUGAAAGCUCAGAGUUAUGACAUAACAGAAUUGGCUCAUGUGACUAUGGAGGCUGAGAUGUCCCAAGAGCUGGAUACCCAGGAGAAGCAAAGAGUGGUUGAUCAUACUGUAAAACUCAAAUGUGAAGGGAAGGCUGGAACCUACUGGAAACUGAAGAUCUAACGAAAAGAAGGAACUUUUAGGAACUAGCAGAGACUUCAAAAUGUUGAGAACUCUCUUUUUUCAUAAGAGAAGAUAAAAACUCUGAUGGUCACACUCAUAAAGACAAAAAACAAAUAAAAAACAAACAAAAACUCAGAAUCACAAGAGCAAAGAAAAUGUAGGUAAAACAAUAACAGAAGAGGUAAAGAAAUUUAUGUGAAUUGGGACACUCUGGGGCACAGAACAGAAGAGGAGAAGAAACAUGAAAGUAAUGCUCUGCACAAGGAUGUCUGACUGUCCUUGAUUCCAAGGGCAUUUAAAAUUAGCCACUGGAUGAGAACCAUGAAAUGCCAUGACUCUUACAGCUCCCAUGAAAGACAUUGGAUGGAACUUAUCCUAACUGGACCAAAUUCUAAAAAAUUUUACAUGAUAUUAUAAUGAGUUGAAAGUUGAAAAAAAAAAGCUCUUCUAGAUUACCAAGAAUAAAACACAAAUUUCUAGCUGACUGAAUUAAUUCUCAUCUCUCUAUAGAAAGAUCAUAGAAAUUUUUUUUAUCAUGCAAAGAAAUAGCUAAAAAUUUACAAAAAUAUAGACGUGCAUUAGGCAGCUCAUGAAUAAAUGCGUUUUUUCCUUUUUUCCUCCAGAAUUUUGUGAUGUUUAUGGUACUUUUCGGCUUUUAAAAUUUUGUAUUUAAUCAGGAUUUAUUACUUCAUUGUAAGUAAAUAUUAAAUUUGUACUCCAUCUUUGUUUGUAAUUUUGUAUAUUUUUCAGUAAAAAGGACUCCCCAGAUUAUGUAAGCUUUAGGCCCCACAAAAUCUAGGCCUGUUGCUGUAUCCUUUCUAGAGCAGUGUUUCUCAAACUUCAAUGUGCAUUUGAAUCUCCUGGGGCUCCUGUUAAAAUAUAGCUUCUGAGAUGAUGCAUUUCUAACAGACUCCCAGGGCUGACACUGCCCAUCUGGGGACCACACUUUGAGAAUCAAAUAUCUAGAACAAUGGUUCUUACCUGGCUGUGCAUUGGGAUCAUUUAUAGUGCUUUUGGAAAAUACAUUGUGUCCAGGUCCCACCCAGUUCUCAGUAGGCUUGGAAUGGGGUCCUACACUUUUUUUUUUUAACUCCACAGUUUGGGAAAGAAGCCUUUUCAUAUAUUGUUGGUGGGAAUACAAAUUGAUACAGCCAUUUUUGAGCUUGAUUUGGCAAUAUCUUCCUUGGAGAAAUCAAAAGCCAGUUGGCAAGCCAGUCUGGAAAAGGCAGUUUACUGAUUCCCACCCGAGGGUCACAAAGCAGGUAUAGAAGGAUGGGCUUUGGCUGAAAUAUAUGAUGGGUACAGGUAUAUUCUCUAUAAUCCAGUAUUUCCACUGCUGAAAACGUAUCCUAGUAACAUUAUACAUAUCAAGCCUACAUAUAAAGUUGGUCAAUUCCAUAUUAUUUGUAGUAGGGGAAAACUGAAAGCAGUCUACAUGCCCAUCAAUAGAUUAUUCAAAUUAUGGAACAGUUUUCCAAUGACAAAACAAUAGCUAAUCUUAGUUAAGCAAUUAUUAUGUUAUGUAAGGUAGACAUUGUUCUACCUUAUUUAUAAGUAUUAAGUUAGUUUUUAUAACUAUCAUAUUUCCAUUUUACAAAUGACAUAAUUUAUAUUAUUGACAUGGGAAGAUGUCCAAGGAUAUAAUAAGCAAAAAGCAAGUAGCAAAACAUUAUGUAUAUUAUGCAUUACCAUUAUAAUAUACUAAAAAGUAAUGCACUUGAUUCUGAUGCACACUCCCCAGUAGGUAACAACUUAUCUAGUGUAAAAAUGAAAGAACAUUCUGGGCCGGGCACGGUGGCUCAUGCCUGUAAUCCCAGCACUUUGGGAGGCCCAGGUGGGCGGAUCACAAGGUCAGGAGAUCGAGACCAUCCUGGCUAACA
rnacentral:lncRNA from 1 species